rnacentral:rRNA from 2 species
UGACCUCAAAUCAGGUAGGACUACCCGCUGAACUUAAGCAUAUCAAUAAGCGGAGGAAAAGAAACUAACAAGGAUUCCCCUAGUAACUGCGAGUGAAGCGGGAAAAGCUCAAAUUUAAAAUCUGGCGGUCUUUUGGCUGUCCGAGUUGUAAUCUAGAGAAGUGUUAUCCGCGCUGGACCGUGUACAAGUCUCCUGGAAUGGAGCAUCAUAGAGGGUGAGAAUCCCGUCUUUGACAUGGACUGCCAGGGCUUUGUGAUGCGCUCUCAAAGAGUCGAGUUGUUUGGGAAUGCAGCUCAAAAUGGGUGGUAAAUUCCAUCUAAAGCUAAAUAUUGGCGAGAGACCGAUAGCGAACAAGUACCGUGAGGGAAAGAUGAAAAGAACUUUGGAAAGAGAGUUAAACAGUACGUGAAAUUGCUGAAAGGGAAACGCUUGAAGUCAGUUAUGUCGUCCAGGGAUCAACCUUGCUUUUGCUUGGUGCACUUUCUGGUUUGACAGGUCAGCAUCAAUUUUGACUAUUGGAAAAAGGCUUAGGGAAUGUGGCAUCUUUGGAUGUGUUAUAGCCCUUGGUCAUAUACAAUGGUUGGGAUUGAGGAACUCAGCACGCCGCAAGGCCGGGUUUUUAACCACGUACGUGCUUAGGAUG